GUCGAGCGGCAUCGAGUGAGCGCAGUUUACUGAGUUCAUGUCGGCGAGCGGCGGACGGGUGAGUAAAGUCUGGGAAUCUGGCCGAAGGAGGGGGAUAACUGCUGGAAACGGCAGCUAAUACCGCAUGAAGUCGCGAGACCAAAGUGGGGGACCUUCGGGCCUCACGCCUUCGGAUGAGCCCAGAUGAGAUUAGCUGGUAGGUAAGGUAAAGGCUUACCUAGGCGACGAUCUCUAGCGGGUCUGAGAGGAUAGCCCGCCACACUGGAACUGAGACACGGUCCAGACUCCUACGGGAGGCAGCAGUGGGGAAUAUUGCACAAUGGGCGAAAGCCUGAUGCAGCCAUGCCACGUGUGUGAAGAAGGCCUUCGGGUUGUAAAGCACUUUCAGCGAGGAGGAAGCGAUAAAUGCCAAUACCAUUUA
rnacentral:rRNA from 1 species